GACGAACGCUGGCGGCGUGCUUAACACAUGCAAGUCGAACGGAAAGGCCCUGCUUUUGUGGGGUGCUCGAGUGGCGAACGGGUGAGUAACACGUGAGUAACCUGCCCUUGACUUUGGGAUAACUUCAGGAAACUGGGGCUAAUACCGGAUAGGAGCUCCUGCUGCAUGGUGGGGGUUGGAAAGUUUCGGCGGUUGGGGAUGGACUCGCGGCUUAUCAGCUUGUUGGUGGGGUAGUGGCUUACCAAGGCUUUGACGGGUAGCCGGCCUGAGAGGGUGACCGGCCACAUUGGGACUGAGAUACGGCCCAGACUCCUACGGGAGGCAUCAGUGGGAAGUAUUACACAAUGAGCGGAAGCCUGAUGCAGCAACGCCGCGGGCGGGAUGACGGCCUUCGGGUUGUAAACCGCUUUCGCCUGUGACGAAGCGUGAGUGACGGUAAUGGGUAAAGAAGCACCGGCUAACUACGUG
rnacentral:rRNA from 1 species